rnacentral:tRNA from 1 species
CACUACGAAGCUUAGAGCGUUAACCUUUUAAGUUAAAGUUAGAGAUGAUUAAUCUCCGUAGUGA